GUCCAAUUUUCUUCUCAUGCUCCUUACCCGUUAUAAUAAAUAAGUCUACAUGAUAUUGCUCUUCAUAGUCUAUUUUCGGACAUUCUUAGAUUUCUAGUGGUGAUAAUAAAUAGUAAUACUAGUAUACUACAGUAUAGUUUGUCCCAAUUAUUAAGGAAACUACUAAGAAAAUCAAAAGAACAGUUUCUUACUCACCAACUAAAUAAUGUUUGUGUCAGAAAAUAUG